rnacentral:rRNA from 1 species
AUGGACCAAUCCAUCCCUUUUUCCCGUGCAUAUGCAUCGGACUCGGAUGACGAUGGUCCUGAUGAAGAAGUUGAUGAGGAGGGGUUCACACCGAAGGAGGCCGAAGCAUUCAAGAAGGUAUUCGGGCGGGAUCACAAGACACCAUUGUUCAAGGAUCUUAGUCUCGCGGAUGAAGCCGUUGUGGAUGGUGGAAAAUGCAUAUCUCUUGGAGCUAGGCCAAGUUCUCACCGUGAUUUGGAAGACGGCAAGAACGGGAUAUAUCCCGGUUGUGAGUUUCAAUCCUUCUUGGAAUUGAAGAUGUGGCUCGACAACUACUCGGUUACACAUUAUCGUCCACAUAAAGUGGCCAACUCGGACGUGAAUGUGCGUUACACGGUCAAAUGUGAAGUGCCAAAAUGUCCAUGGAUGGUGCGUGCAAGGCCAUGGAAAGGAGGUCCCACUUGGCGCAUAGUGAGUUGUCUACCAACUCACAUGUGCUGA